CCUACGGGUGGCAGCAGUGAGGAAUAUUGGUCAAUGGACGCAAGUCUGAACCAGCCAUGCCGCGUGCAGGAUGACGGCUCUCUGAGUUGUAAGCUGCUUUUGUACGAGGGUAAACCCCGAUACGUGUAUCGGGUUGAAAGUAUCGUACGAAUAAGGAUCGGCUAACUCCGUGCCAGCCGCCGCGGUACUACGGAGUAUCCGAGCGUUAUCCGGAUUUACUGGGUGUACAGGGCGUGUAGGCGGGAAAGCAAGUCAGAUGUGAAAACCAUGGGCUCAACCUGUGGCCUGCAUUUGAAACUGGUUUUCGUGAGUACUGGAGAGGCAGACGGAAUUCCUAGUGUAGCGGUGAAAGGCGUAGAUAUUAGGAGGAACACCAGUGGCGAAGGCGGUCUGCUGGACAGCAACUGACGCUGAGGCGCGAAAGCGUGGGGAGCAAACAGGAUUAGAUACCCUUGUAGUC
rnacentral:rRNA from 1 species